rnacentral:rRNA from 1 species
GACGAACGCUGGCGGCGUGCUUAACACAUGCAAGUCGAACGGAAAGGCCCUGCUUGCAGGGUGCUCGAGUGGCGAACGGGUGAGUAACACGUGGGUGAUCUGCCCCUUACUUUGGGAUAAGCCUGGGAAACUGGGUCUAAUACUGGAUAGGACCAUGCUGUAGGUGGUGUGGUGGAAAGAUUAGUUUCGGUAAGGGAUGAGCUCGCGGCCUAUCAGCUUGUUGGUGGGGUAAUGGCCUACCAAGGCGUCGACGGGUAGCCGGCCUGAGGGGGUGGACGGCCACAUUGGGACUGAGAUACGGCGCAGACUCCUACGGGAGGCAGCAGUGGGGAAUAUUGCACAAUGGGCGCAAGCCUGAUGCAGCGACGCCGCGUGGGGGAUGACGGCCUUCGGGUUGUAAACUCCUUUCAGCCAUGACGAAGCCCUUGUGGUGACGGUAGUGGUAGAAGAAGCACCGGCUAACUACGUG